rnacentral:lncRNA from 1 species
GAGCGUCGGAAACUAUCGAGUCUUGCCGAGCAAGAGCAGUGACACAACUACCAUCGCAAACCACAGUCAAAUGAGAGCCACAAUCACGGAAUUUUCACCUUCGCUGCGUUAAAAACUCGGAAACUUUGUCAGGGUCGUUUGAAUACGCUUUGCUUUAGGAAAGACUGGGCUUACAGGCCUAUUUAGUUAUGAGCUAUUUAUAUCACUUGAAGGGGGAAAUUGUUUGUCUUGAAGUUUUAAUGACUUUCACAUCCUGAAAUGAAACGGGUAAAGGCACAUGGUCUAAUGAUAACGGAACAUAUGGAUACAGACGUUUAGAGGUCGAAACUACAGGAGAGAUGAUGGGACUACGCGGAGUUGAGUGAUAGGAACAGAAUGAUGACUGAAAAACAACGAGAGCAGCCUUUGGUUCUGACCCACUACAGAGCCUCUCGUUCAUGUCGAUGCUUCCACAACUACCUCACCGCUGAAUGUUACCUUUGUGUCUCUGAUCGACUUCAGACACUUUAAAAAACUUUCAUCCACACAUUCUAGUGACAUGAAAGCCAUUGAGCUGUCUGAGGAAGGAAGUUCAGAGGAAGGUCCUUUUGUUUUGGGCCCGGUACCGCCUACACAGUGUCCUGCGAUUUCAUUGGACCUUCUAACUACACGCUGCAACAAGCUGUUCUGUGGAGCCCCCCCACCCUGCAACGAGCUGUUCUGUGGAGCCCCCCC